rnacentral:rRNA from 1 species
UACGUAGGGUGCAAGCGUUAAUCGGAAUACUGGGCGUAAAGCGUGCGCAGGCGGUUCUAUAAGACAGAUGUGAAAAUCCCCCGGGCUCAACCUGGGAACUGCAUUUGUGACUGUAGAGCUGGAGUACGGCAGAGGGGGAUGGAAUUCCGCGUGUAGCAGUGAAAUGCGUAGAUAUCAGGAGGAACAUCGAUGGCGAAGGCAGCCCCUUGGACCUGUACUGACGCUCAUGCACGAAA